GGGGCCAUAGCUCAGCUGGCUAGAGUGCUUGACUGGCAGUCAAGAGGUCGAGGGUUCGACUCCCUCUGGCUCCACUA
rnacentral:tRNA from 4 species